rnacentral:rRNA from 1 species
AGUGAACGCUGGCGGUAGGCCUAACACAUGCAAGUCGAACGGCAGCACAGUAAGAGCUUGCUCUUACGGGUGGCGAGUGGCGGACGGGUGAGGAAUACAUCGGAAUCUACUUUUUCGUGGGGGAUAACGUAGGGAAACUUACGCUAAUACCGCAUACGACCUACGGGUGACAGCAGGGGAUCUUCGGACCUUGCGCGAUUGAAUUAGCCGAUGUCGGAUUAGCUAGUUGGCGGGGUAAAGGCCCACCAAGGCGACGAUCCGUAGAUGGUCUGAGAGGAUGGUCAGCCACACUGGAACUGAGACACGGUCCAGACUCCUACGGGAGGCAGCAGUGGGGAAGAUUGGACAAUGGGCGCAAGCCUGAUCCAGCCAUACCGCGUGGGUGAAGAAGGCCUUCGGGUUGUAAAGCCCUUUUGUUGGGAAAGAAAAGCAGCAGGUUAAUACCCCGCUGUUCUGACGGUACCCAAAGAAUAAGCACCGGCUAACUUCGUG